CAGGUGAUAAGAAAAGAAGGCUGGCACCACCGGAGGAGAGACAGGCACCAUCUAAGGCAGGCGCUUCCAGAAUAGGAGGGAAGAGGAAGCGGGACGCCGGACCACGCCUUGCCAGGGAUGAUAAGGACUGUCCCUGUGCCAAAAGAAGGCGAUUAUAAGAGGCGCGGGCCCCCAAGGCACCAGCUUCCGGAGCAGAUAAGACCAGCGGAAGCGUGAACACCACCUUGCCUUGGGGAGAGACCACCUGUUCCAGCUGCCUGCCCU